rnacentral:lncRNA from 1 species
CGUACCUCUGUAUUAGAAAAUUUUCUUUAUUCUAUAAACAUUUGGAAAAUAUGAAGAGUAUAGGAAUCAUAGUGAAGCAGAUUAAAGUAUAGAGCACUGUUUUUAGUCAAAAGAAGGGACAUUUUUCCUCAGUAUCUUGUGAAGACUCCUUUACAAAGUAACUUGGUGUAACAAAACUUCCCUUGUUUAAAAAUGAAGGAAACUACUAAAGAGUGUAGCCAUCAUAGCGAGCCAAGAGCAGAUUUGAAUAUACAAAGCACUGGUUUUCUGAGAUGCCAUUAUUUGUUAUCAUGUCCUCUCUUAAAAAAGGAAAGAAGACAAUCUGAGGCCUGCAUUGGAGGAAACAGCACUCCAUGUCUUAAGAGGACCACUACUUUGCCACUAAAGCUAUUAGGCAACACAUUGCAAGAAAAAUCUCUCUAUUUUUUAAGAAAAAGGAAAACAUAAACUGUAGGCAUCAUAGCGAGCCAAGAGCAGACUGAAAGUACAGAGCAUUAGCUUUCUGAGAUGUCAUUGUUUGUUAUCAGGUCCUCUUUUAGCCAAAAAGGGAGCCACCUUUCCGAGGUCUGCAUUAGCAGAAAGAGCAAUCCUUGCCUUCCAAGGACCUUUUCUUGGGAUUCACAUUCUUACUAUUAAGCAUAUACAUACAGUGCAAACUUAGUGUAGGAUAUCAGCAAAUGACAGGAAGGCAACAAGGAAAAAGAUGACCAGGCUUCACAAGUACGAAUGAAUGAAAACAGGGAGAGGAAUUCUCUGUUUGAGCAUCUAUGUCUGAUCAUUGAAAGACCUAUUGCCCAUAUCUUCUUGUAAUUUAAUUUAAUUUAGGAAAAAAUAUUAUUGCUUCCCAUCAUAAAAUAACAAGGAUGCAGGAAUGGGAGAUAAACUAAAGGAGAAUGAAGGAAAUAAAAAAUGAAGAGAAAAAGAUUACAGGAGGAGAAAACAAAAAGGGCAGAAUGAGAAAAGGAUAAAUAAUACAAGGAGACAGAAAAACUGGGAUAAGUAACUUCAAACCAAUAUUUGAAUACAACAACAACAAAGCAUUUUCCCACUAAGUGGGGUCGGCUAUAUGAAUCCUAGAACGCCAUUGCGCUCGGUUUUGUGUCAUGUCCUCCGUUAGAUCCAAGUACUCUAGGUCUUUUCUUAGGGUCUCUUCCAAAGUUUUCCUAGGUCUUCCUCUACCCCUUCGGCCCUGAACCUCUGUCCCGUAGUCACAUCUUCGAACCGGGGCGUCAUUAGGCCUUCUUUGCACAUGUCCAAACCACCGUCACCGAUUUUCUCUCAUCUUUCCUUCAAUUUCGGCUACUCCUACUUUACCUCGGAUAUCCUCAUUCCUAAUCUUAUCCUUCUCGUGUGCCCACACAUCCAACGAAGCAUCCUCAUCUCCGCUACACCCAUUUUGUGUACGUGUUGAUGCUUCACCGCCCAACAUUCUGUGCCAUACAGCAUCACUGAUCACUCAUAUAUUUCAUGCAUUUAUACCAUUCAUUUCUAUAGUCUUUGUGAUGUUUUUGUGUUAUAAUUGUGGCAUUUUAUUUUACAUUGUGUUAAUGUGCAGUUAAAUCUCUUUUAGGAUAAAUAAAAAUAAAAAAAAAGAAACAAAGAAAAGGGAGACUGACAGCAAGCAGAAAAGAAAAAUAAAAGGAAGAAAGAAGAAGUGCAUCACAGCAAUACAAAAACCAGCGAGAAAAGCAGAAAACAGCACAGCAAGCAGAAAAGGAAAACAAAAGAAGUGCGCAGAGAGAUGGGAGACAGAUAGAAAGAAAAGAAUAUAAACUGCAAAGAAAUAAAGAAGAGGGAGUGGAAAGACGUGGACUGCAGAAGGAAUAAAAACAGAAAAGAGAUGGGACUCGGACUGGCUGGCGAAGAAACGAAGCGGGACAGAGAGUUAAUGGCAGGGAAAGAAAAGCAUAAAAUAAAAGAGACAGCGCGGAUAUAGACACGGGAGUGAGAGAGCAUGUGCGGCGAAGAAAAAUAGAUAUAGAAAAAGAAGCAUAAGGCAGCAAGAUGGAGACAGGAUAGAGAGUGCACUGGCGGGACAGACUGACAGAAAAGAAAAGAAGAAGCAGCGUGCAGAAAAGAAGGAGGUCAGAGGGGGAGAGCAGAGAGAAGACUGACAUAAAAAAAAAAUAUAUAUAUAGAAGUGAGGGACGGGAUUUGGGGGUGGAGAGAAAGAAGAAUAAAACGGGAAGGGAGAGACUAGGCAGGGAUAAUGACGUAAGGCGCGGGAAAGAAGGAGAGGCAGGUCAGAGUGCAUGACACGGGGAAGGACUGGCUGAAGCAGCAGAGCACAGAGAGCAAGGCUUCAAUCUAGUUCCUUGGUUUUAUCUUCUCAAACCCAUGUUUUACUUUUGGUUUAAUUUGAUAAUAAUGUGUAACUAAUUUUUAGUAGUUAGGGGCUGUUUUGAAGCCCCAAAUAUGAUUGUAAGUUUGUUGUGAUAUUUUGUUUGAAUGACUUUUAUGAAAGGAUGAAAAUUGUUUCACUACUUAUGUCAUUGAUGAAUUCUUUAUGUGUUUCUAUGAAUGCAUACAUAGUGAGCAUAUCUAGGAUUUUAAUGCUAUGAAUAUAUGUAUGUCUGCCCUUGUUGAAUGAGGACCUACAUAUGUUCUAGAGUAGCACUUGUUAAUUGUGGUUAACAUGUGAACCGAUUUCUAGGAUAAGUAAGACAACGCCAGUACUUACGAUGCCUUGUGAUGACUCAAACUCUUUUUAUUCUUAAUGAUUUCUACUUGUUAAAUCUAUGAACACACCAUUCUAGAUUGCAUGCUAGGAACUAAGUUAAGUUGAAAACGUCAUUCUCUUAACAUACUACAUAAGAAAGAGUAAUAGGUUGAGUUCUAACAGUGAGCCAACUUGAGCAUCUUCAUCCGGAAAUAAAAGGAAUUUGAAUGAAACAUAACAUGUUUACAUGAUUAUUUGGUGGUGGAUAGCAUGUCCCCUAACUCGUUUUCUUAACUUGUGAAUUAAAAUCUAUUUGUAUUAUUUAAAAUCUGUUUCUGUACUGUUUUUGUACGAUUUAAUUUAAAUAGCAAAUCAACUCCAAAAAUCCCAAAAAUUUGUGAGACUGUCGUACUGUGUGUCUAGUUUAUGUGUAUAAAAUUUCGUUGCAUUUGGAUAUAAGUGUAAGUUAGUUUAAUAAUUAUUGUUCGGUGGCUGGUCAGUGGAGACAGCCACCCUGUUUUUGUGACAUUUUUAAGUAUUUGGAUAAAACAAUCUUCUGCGGGAAAGACCCUUAUUUUCAUAUGCUACAAGUCAUGUCCUCCGUUAGAUCCAAGUACUCUAGGUCUUUUCUUAGGGUCUCUUCCAAAGUUUUCCUAGGUCUUCCUCUACCCCUUCGGCCCUGAACCUCUGUCCCGUAGUCACAUCUUCGAACCAGGGCGUCAUUAGGCCUUCUUUGCACAUGUCCAAACCACCGUCACCGAUUUUCUCUCAUCUUUCCUUCAAUUUCGGCUACUCCUACUUUACCUCGGAUAUC